GAGGCGGCUGCUUGAGUACUACGAGCGUGGCUUAAAACUCAAAGAACUUGGCGGCUCGUUAAUUACCCAGGGGAAUAUGCGCCUUAAUCCGAUGAUCCGCGUAACAUCUUACUGUACCUUGAAAAAGAACAGCUGGUGUAUUGCCGUUGUCAGCUUGUUGUUCGAGCAGAGAGAAACAGGCUUAAUGGAGCUAGCGAUAGUAUGUCGAAAGAGUCCAUGAAUUCAGGUCGAAAUACUGCCAAUGGUACAAGGGAGUGGGUAUUACAAUUCAGAUUUUGAACUACGGAUCCUGUAAAUGAAAUUAUCAGGUGAAGGUGGACUUGGGAGUAAGGGGGGAUUAAUAUGCCUUCCUGAACGUAAAUCUAACUUGUGCACAAACCGCCCGUCGCUCUCGCCGGGAGGGGAGAUAAGUCGUAACAG
rnacentral:rRNA from 1 species